CAAAGACGAGCUGUCAUCAUUUUUCAACCUGUAUGUGACGUGUCAAAGCAACCAUUGCUUUUUUAUUUGCCGCUUUGGAAAAAAAUAGAAACUAGUGGCAACAAGACUUAUUUAGAAUGUCGGGCCAUUAUUUAUGUUCUUCAAAACACCUGAGCAGCAGCGGGACUGUUCUCUGGAUUCGGUGGAAAAGAAAUUCCACCGGAGAAUUGCCUGCUCAUAAAGACCACGCCGACAUCGAUUGUCAUGAUGAUGACCGGUUCCGAACGAUGAAGCAGUUGACCUCGACCCGGCUGCUGGAAGAUUAAUACUUCCAGGCCGGAACGGGAUCGUAAUCCAGCCGAGGACAUGAGCAGAUGGAACCUGAUCAUUGUAUUUAAUGAAAGUGUUUUUUUGUGUAUUUUUCCUCAGAAAUAAACGUUGCCUUUGCCUCUUUUCUUUAAA